GACGAACGCUGGCGGCGUGCUUAACACAUGCAAGUCGAACGGAAAAGCCCUGCUUUUGUGGGGUGCUCGAGUGGCGCACGUGUGAAUAACACGUGAGUCUCCUGCCCUUUACUUUGGGAUAACUUCAGGAAACUGCGGCUAAUACCUGCUAGCUGCUCCUGCUGCAUGGUGGGGUUUGGACAUUUUCGGCUGUUGGGGAUGUACUGCCGGCUUAUCAGCUUGUUGGUGGGGUAUUUGCUUACCCAGGCUUUGACGGGUAGCCGGCCUGAGAGGGUGAACGGCGUCAAUGGGACUGAGAGACGGAGCAGACGCCUACGGGAGGCAGCAGUGGGGAAUAUGGCACAAUGGGCGGAAGCCUGAGGAAGAAACGCUGCGUGCGGGAUGAAGGCCUUCGGGUGGGAAACCGCAUUCGCCUGUGACGAAGCGUGAGUGACGGUAAUGGGUAAAGAAGCACCGGCUAACUACGUG
rnacentral:rRNA from 1 species